rnacentral:rRNA from 1 species
AUUGAACGCUGGCGGCAUGCCUUACACAUGCAAGUCGAACGGCAGCACGGGAGCAAUCCUGGUGGCGAGUGGCGAACGGGUGAGUAAUGUAUCGGAACGUGCCCAGUCGUGGGGGAUAACGUAGCGAAAGCUACGCUAAUACCGCAUACGAUCUAUGGAUGAAAGCGGGGGAUCGCAAGACCUCGCGCGAUUGGAGCGGCCGAUAUCAGAUUAGGUAGUUGGUGGGGUAAAGGCUCACCAAGCCGACGAUCUGUAGCUGGUCUGAGAGGACGACCAGCCACACUGGGACUGAGACACGGCCCAGACUCCUACGGGAGGCAGCAGUGGGGAAUUUUGGACAAUGGGCGCAAGCCUGAUCCAGCAAUGCCGCGUGCAGGAUGAAGGCCUUCGGGUUGUAAACUGCUUUUGUACGGAGCGAAAAGGCUCUCUCUAAUACAGGGGGCUCAUGACGGUACCGUAAGAAUAAGCACCGGCUAACUACGUGCCAGCCGCCGCAGUAACAC